rnacentral:rRNA from 1 species
GACGAACGCUGGCGGCGUGCCUAAUACAUGCAAGUAGAACGCUGAAUAGAGGAGCUUGCUCUUCUUGGAUGAGUUGCGAACGGGUGAGUAACGCGUAGGUAACCUGCCUGGUAGCGGGGGAUAACUAUUGGAAACGAUAGCUAAUACCGCAUAAAAUUGAUUAUUGCAUGAUAAUUAAUUGAAAGAUGCAACUGCAUCACUACCAGAUGGACCUGCGUUGUAUUAGCUAGUUGGUGAGGUAACGGCUCACCAAAGCGACGAUACAUAGCCGACCUGAGAGGGUGAUCGGCCACACUGGGACUGAGACACGGCCCAGACUCCUACGGGAGGCAGCAGGAGGGAAUCUUCGGCAAGGGGGGGAACCCUGACCGAGCAACGCCGCGUGAGUGAAGAAGGUUUUCGGAUCGUAAAGCUCUGUUGUAAGAGAAGAACGGGUGUGAGAGUGGAAAGUUCACACUGUGACGGUAUCUUACCAGAAAGGGACGGCUAACUACGUG